GACGAACCGUGCGAACGUUAUUCGGAAUCACUGGGCUUAAAGCGCGUGUAGGCGGGCCGCCACGUCGGGCGCUGAAAUCCCCCGGCUCAACCGGGGAACGGGCACCGAUACGAGCGGCCUGGAGGGGAGUAGGGGGACCUGGAACUUCCGGUGGAGCGGUGAAAUGCGUUGAGAUCGGAAGGAACGCCCGUGGCGAAAGCGAGGUCCUGGGCUCCUGCUGACGCUGAGACGCGAAAGCCAGGGGAGCGAAUGGG
rnacentral:rRNA from 1 species